rnacentral:rRNA from 1 species
ACACAUUCUAGAGCCUAAUUCAUUUUAAUUAACAACUAAAAUUACAUUCAAAUCCAAAUUCUAAAUAAUAAUGCUAAAAUUUAUCCUUAAAUAAAUUUAAUGUAAUCCAUCUCUACUUAUAUAAGCUGCACCUUGAUCUGAUAUUUUAUAUAGUAUUAUAUUAUAAUUAUAUAUUUCCGAAAAUAAUUAUCAACGACGAUAUACAAGCAAAAUAAAAGUUUUAUUAAUCGUGGAUUAUCGAUUACAGGACAGAUUCCCCUGAUUGGAAUAAAAAACCGCCAAAUUUUUUGAUUUUAAAGAACAUAACUCAUAUUAAUCAGGUUUAACCAUCAACAUCUAGAAUAGUGGGGUAUCUAAUCCCAGUUUAAAAUCUAGAUUUCUUAACCUCAUAACCAAAAAUUUAAUUAAAAAAAAAAUAGGAUUUCACCCAAUAUUUUAUUAAAUAAAAAUAAAUUUUUAUUAAUUAAAAAUUAAAAACCAAAUAAAAAUAGUAGUAUUAUUUGUUUAACCGCA